rnacentral:lncRNA from 1 species
ACGAGCUGUCUGUCCAAGCAUAUUGUCUCGGAGCUUGCAAUGCACGUACGUGCGCACGCUUCUGUCCAGUACAGUGCAUGGGAUGAACAGAACUACAGGAGAGCGAUAAGGUGGAGAACUGUGGUACCGGAUAAGAAUGUACAGGGAGACAGUAGGGAACUGAACAAGUGUGCAGCUGAUAAGACGGGGUUGAUGCCACGGCCGGCUCGUUCUGUAUGGCUGUUGCAUGCAUCCUCCGCGCAAGCAGUACUGCUGGGGUCGCCAGAAAAUUCUCUCCAUCUGGAGAAGAAUCUUCAACGCUGCCGCCCACUGAUCGAUCGUAUACCGUGUACUGUUUGUGCACAGCUAUAUAUGUAACACCUUGGAACCCGGAACUUCUGGAUCCGCUGGUGAAAAGGUGAGCAUAAGUCACUUUUGAUGACACAAAAUUAAAACAAACAACAUUUAAAGUCUGAACUCAAGAUAUCCUUUUAAAAUAAUAUGUGUUACGGCGGCCGGAGGCGAGGGAACCGUAAAUUUUCAGGCGCUCCUGGAAACCUAGUUUCUCUUCGAUUGCAAUCUCAACAGAAGAAGUAUUUUUUUUUUUUUUGAGAAUAACAGAAAAGGUAUACGAUACGUUCCAGUGUGCGAGUUGUGGGAAAACAAGAAUAUAGCAGAAGUAUCCAGGGAUCUAGCUCUUGCCCAGCUAGUGGCCGGGGGGGCGUGAUUAAGGCCCGGAAACGUGAUUAGCAUCGGUGCUAGUGACCUCGUGCCUGGGAGCUGAGUACCAGAUUACAAGCUAAUGCCAGUAGAUUAAAGAAGACUUAAGCGGGUGAUUAAUUUGGGCAAGUCGAAGACACACGCGUCGGGUCCGACCAGGCGCGAUGGGAUCCGUCGCGGCGCGGUCGUGACACUUGGUGGCGCUCCUUGAUCCCGCGCGAGGAUCGUCGGGAUCCGAUCGAUCUGCCGGCUACAGCUAGCCUAUGGGAGUUUCGCAACUUGAAUGGUUUAGUAAUAUAGCGGACUGCCUUUUUAGGAGACGAACUGGAGUUCGCAAGGCAAAUGCAUUUGGGGUUUUGGAUCCCUGCGCAAAAAUCUCGAUGGCUAUAAAAGUCUACCCAUGAUAAAAACGAUACCUGUUUAAUCUUUUUGUUAGUGAAAAUCGAGGCUUACGUACACAUGCAAACCCACAGCUCCUGCCCAACGAAAGGCCCAGAAUUGUGUUACGUACACUGAGCUUAUAUUUAUUUAUAAGCUAAUCUAUUGUGUG